rnacentral:rRNA from 1 species
AGAGUUUGAUCCUGGCUCAGGAUGAAGAAAGCGGCAGGCUUAACACAUGCAAGUCGAGGGGUAACAGGGGUGCUUGCACCCGCUGACGACCGGCGCACGGGUGCGUAACGCGUAUACAACCUACCUUUUGCUGAGGGAUAGCCCAGAGAAAUUUGGAUUAAGACCUCAUGGUACCAUUUGACGGCAUCGUUUUUUGGUUAAAGGCCACGGCAAAAGAUGGGUAUGCGUCCUAUUAGUUAGUUGGUAAGGUAACGGCUUACCAAGGCAUCGAUAGGUAGGGGCCCUGAGAGGGGGAUCCCCCACACUGGUACUGAGACACGGACCAGACUCCUACGGGAGGCAGCAGUGAGGAAUAUUGGACAAUGGGGGCAACCCUGAUCCAGCCAUGCCGCGUGCAGGAUGACUGCCCUAUGGGUUGUAAACUGCUUUUGUACGGGAAGAAACGCGCCUACGUGUAGGCGUUUGACGGUACCGUAAGAAUAAGGAUCGGCUAACUCCGUGCCAGCAGCCGCGGUAAUACGGAGGAUCCAAGCGUUAUCCGGAAUCAUUGGGUUUAAAGGGUCCGCAGGCUGGCCAGUAAGUCAGGGGUGAAAGUUUGCCGCUCAACGGUAAAAUUGCCUUUGAUACUGCUGGUCUUGAAUUACUGUGAAGUGGUUAGAAUAUGUAGUGUAGCGGUGAAAUGCUUAGAGAUUACAUAGAAUACCGAUUGCGAAGGCAGAUCACUAACAGUAUAUUGACGCUCAUGGACGAAAGCGUGGGUAGCGAACAGGAUUAGAUACCCUGGUAGUCCACGCCGUAAACGAUGGAUACUAGCUGUCCGGGUAUUUUAAUACUGGGGUUGCCCAAGCCGAAAGUUGAAUAAAGGUAAUUC